UACGGAGGGGGCUAGCGUUGUUCGGAAUUACUGGGCGUAAAGCGCACGUAGGCGGCUUCUUAAGUCAGGGGUGAAAUCCUGGAGCUCAACUCCAGAACUGCCUUUGAUACUGAGGAGCUUGAGUCCGGGAGAGGUGAGUGGAACUGCGAGUGUAGAGGUGAAAUUCGUAGAUAUUCGCAAGAACACCAGUGGCGAAGGCGGCUCACUGGACUGGUAUUGACGCUGAGGUGCGAAAGCGUGGGGAGCAAACAGG
rnacentral:rRNA from 1 species